CAAUUACAAUGGAGGUCAGUGCAAGUUAGCAAGCAGGAAGAAAAUCAAGAAUAACUGAUCAAUUGUACUGUGCUAUACCUAGGCGAGGAACCAAACUAAGGCCGGCAUCAUAAAGAGACUAUUCGGUUAAGAGCUCUUUCUGCUUCGGGACCGACAUAUUUCUCAGUCGAUGAAAGUCCUCCUGGUUGUCAACCUCCACUCAGCUGUUAUCAUUAGGACCAGUUCGGGGGUUGCCCCAAGGAGAAGGAAAACCCCA
rnacentral:lncRNA from 1 species